GGAGGGUUGGCAGAAUGGUAAUGCACCGCACUUGAAAUGCGGCGGGCGUAAGCCCUUGGGGGUUCGAGCCCCUCACCCUCCG
rnacentral:tRNA from 1 species